ACCAUUCCACGGUUUCCGCGCCGCAGCUAACGCAUUAAGUGCCCCGCCUGGGGAGUACGGCCGCAAGGCUAAAACUCAAAGGAAUUGACGGGGGCCCGCACAAGCGGCGGAGCAUGCGGAUUAAUUCGAUGCAACGCGAAGAACCUUACCAAGGCUUGACAUGUUCUCGAUCGCCGUAGAGAUACGGUUUCCCCUUUGGGGCGGGUUCACAGGUGGUGCAUGGUUGUCGUCAGCUCGUGUCGUGAGAUGUUGGGUUAAGUCCCGCAACGAGCGCAACCCUCGUUCCAUGUUGCCAGCACGUCGUGGUGGGGACUCAUGGGAGACUGCCGGGGUCAACUCGGAGGAAGGUGAGGACGACGUCAAAUCAUCAUGCCCCUUAUGUCUUGGGCUUCACGCAUGCUACAAUGGCCGGUACAAUGGGUUGCGAUACUGUGAGGUGGAGCUAAUCCCAAAAAGCCGGUCUCAGUUCGGAUUGGGGUCUGCAACUCGACCCCAUGAAGUCGGAGUCGCUAGUAAUCGCAGAUCAGCAACGCUGCGGUGAAUACGUUCCCGGGCCUUGUACACACCGCCCGUCAAGUCACGAAAGUUGGUAACACCCGAAGCCGGUGGCCUAACCCUUGUGGGGGGAGCCGUCGAAGGUGGGACCAGC
rnacentral:rRNA from 1 species